rnacentral:misc_RNA from 1 species
UACGGAGGGUGCAAGCGUUGUCCGGAAUUAUUGGGUGUAAAGGGUGUGCAGGCGGAGCUGUAAGUCAGAGGUGAAAUCCCACGGCUUAACCGUGGAACUGCCUUUGAUACUGCAGUUCUUGAGUCCCGGAGAGGCCAUUAGAAUUCGUGGUGUAGCGGUGAAAUGCGUAGAUAUCACGAGGAAUACCAGAAGCGUAGGCGGAUGGCUGGACGGGGACUGACGCUCAGGCACGAAAGCGUGGGGAGCAAACAGG